UCUUGGUCAUUUAGAGGAAGUAAAAGUCGUAACAAGGUUUCCGUAGGUGAACCUGCGGAAGGAUCAUUAUUGAAAUUAUAGGUGACGGUUGUAGCUGGCCUUUCGGGGCAUGUGCACGCCCGAGCCCUUAAUCCACACACACCUGUGAACCCAAUGUAAGGGCCCGUAAAAAAGGCCUUUAUGUCUCAUCACCAACCUUUUAUGUCUCAUAGAAUGUAAAUCUAUAUCCUCGCCUUAAAAAAGCGUUGAUAAAACUUAUACAACUUUCAACAACGGAUCUCUUGGCUCUCGCAUCGAUGAAGAACGCAGCGAAAUGCGAUAAGUAAUGUGAAUUGCAGAUUUUCAGUGAAUCAUCGAAUCUUUGAACGCACCUUGCGCUCCUUGGUAUUCCGAGGAGCAUGCCUGUUUGAGUGUCAUUAAAUUCUCAACUCCGAAUCGAUUUGUUUCGACUCGGAGCUUGGACUUUGGAGUGUGCUGGCGUCUGUCGGCUCCUCUUAAAUGCAUCAGCGGAAUAUAACCCCGGACAUCAGUGUGAUAAUCGUGUUGCGCUGUCGUCAGAGGUAUAAAAGUCCGCUCAUAAUGGUCUUCGGACAAACUUUACAAUCAAAUUUGACCUCAAAUCAGGUAGGACUACCCGCUGAACUUAAGCAUAUCAAUAAG
rnacentral:rRNA from 1 species